rnacentral:rRNA from 1 species
ACGGCUCACCAAGGCCGUGAUGCAUAGCCGACCUGAGAGGGUGAUCGGCCACAUUGGGACUGAGACACGGCCCAAACUCCUACGGGAGGCAGCAGUAGGGAAUCUUCCGCAAUGGACGCAAGUCUGACGGAGCAACGCCGCGUGAGUGAAGAAGGUCUUCGGAUCGUAAAGCUCUGUUGUUAGAGAAGAACAGCGCAUAGAGUAACUGCUAUGCGUGUGACGGUAUCUAACCAGAAAGCCACGGCUAACUACGUGCCAGCAGCCGCGGUAAUACGUAGGUGGCAAGCGUUGUCCGGAAUUAUUGGGCGUAAAGCGCGCGCAGGUGGUUUAAUAAGUCUGAUGUGAAAGCCCACGGCUCAACCGUGGAGGGUCAUUGGAAACUGUUAAACU